UACGAAGGGGGCUAGCGUUGCUCGGAAUUACUGGGCGUAAAGGGCGCGUAGGCGGAUAUUUAAGUUGGGGGUGAAAUCCCGGGGCUCAACCUCGGAAUUGCCUUCAAAACUGGAUAUCUUGAGUUCGGGAGAGGUGAGUGGAACUCCGAGUGUAGAGGUGAAAUUCGUAGAUAUUCGCAAGAACACCAGUGGCGAAGGCGGCCGACUGGUCCGGUUCUGACGCUGAGGCGCGAAAGCGUGGGGAGCAAACAGG
rnacentral:rRNA from 1 species